AGACACGGUCCGGACUCCUACGGGAGGCAGCAGUGGGGAAUAUUGGACAAUGGGGGCAACCCUGAUCCAGCCAUGCCGCGUGUGUGAAGAAGGCCUUUUGGUUGUAAAGCACUUUAAGCAGGGAGGAGAGGCUAAUGGUUAAUACCCAUUAGAUUAGACGUUACCUGCAGAAUAAGCACCGGCUAACUCUGUGCCAGCAGCCGCGGUAAUACAGAGGGUGCGAGCGUUAAUCGGAAUUACUGGGCGUAAAGCGAGUGUAGGUGGCUCAUUAAGUCAGAUGUGAAAUCCCCGGGCUUAACCUGGGAACUGCAUGGAUACUGGUGGUGCUAGAAUAUGUGAGAGGGAAGUAGAAUUCCAGGUGUAGCGGUGAAAUGCGUAGAGAUCUGGAGGAAUACCGAUGGCGAAGGCAGCUUCCUGGCAUAAUAUUGACACUGAGAUUCGAAAGCGUGGGUAGCAAACAGGAUUAGAUACCCUGGUAGUCCACGCCGUAAACGAUGUCUACUAGCCGUUGGGGUCCUUGA
rnacentral:rRNA from 1 species